AGGAUGAACAAUAUAAAACAUGUGAUUUAUUCUCACAACCUUUGUGCUGUAUCAAAACUGCGGUGGGUAUGCCAGUAUUAGAGGUCUUUAUAUGUAUGGCUUAACUUUUCAUUUACUCUGUAUAUUCACUACUCAAUGUCCUCUAGUGAAUGGUAGAUAUACACACUUCUCACAUGCAAUGCCCCCUCCCCCAACCCAAACACACACACACACACUGACUCCAGGAAGGAGUUCAGGGCCUCAUUGUUCACUUGGGAUUCAGGAAUCCUCUGAUUGGCCAAAGGUCUCCCAGCAUCAGCUGCUCCAGUCGCUUAGGCUGUGUCCCACAUGACUCACUUGUUCCCCUAUGUAGUGGAAAAUACGUAGUACACUAGAUAGGGAGUGAGCGGCAGGACAGCACUAUAUAGGGAGUCAUUUUGGACGCAGCCUUAGUGUUCCAGCGCAGUAUCUCAGUGAGUGGACUGCAUGGUGGAAAGGAACAUUCAGAGGAUGUGCAUGCUGGUUUUUGCUUCUGACAGAGGAGCUUGCAGGGAACAACCAACAACACCAGUGCCAAAGGGGAACAACAGCCCCAGGAUCAAAUCAUUUGGUCUGCUGGUGCUCCUGGUGCUGCCUUUUGUUACACAGGUGAACCUGAUUUUGGAUCUGAUGACCUGGUUGCUGAUUACACUCAUCUGAGUUCACCUGGUCGCCGGGUGGAUAAAGCUGGAAGACUGCAAACCUGAACUGCUUUUGACUCUCCCUAUUGCUUCUUUAGCUGGUUUGCUUGUUUUAGAAAUUUAAGCUGCUUUCUUUUGCAUUAGUGUACCUUUUUAGUCAAUAAAUAAAUAGCAUCAGCACCUGU